rnacentral:lncRNA from 1 species
CAGCUGCAGAGCUAGCCAGAGGCCCCAGCUCUGCUCCAUCAGCAGAAGGACAGCUGUCUUUGAGGGCGGGACGAGGACCCCCACCUCGCAGGGGUCAUGGCAGACUGCUUUGUGACAAGGCCGUUGGGGGACAAAUGGACCUGACGUUCUCCAGAAACCAGGCUUCAGUCUUUGAGCUGCACUCCUCUUCCUUCAAAAUCGUGGCAAGGAGACGCCUAUUCCCCCGGUGUACUCAUGGACCAGCGAGAGCCACUGACAGAUGCAUCACUGGAUCCUAACUAAACACUUUGUUCCAUCUCCCUGUGACCAGAGUAUUGUACCACAAUCCCAGUUGUUUGCAAUAAAUGGCUUGUCUUGAUUUUCCAGAUUAUAGCUAGAAGAUUGCCUCAAACGAUGAAUUGUAGAAUGGAGCAGGAUGUCUGUGUGUCUGCGUCUUCACCCGGGUUUUUCAGGCCACUGUGUCUGUGAACUUAGCUCUAUGAAAGCAAGAAGCCUAUGAGAAUUCCGCCAGGGGCAAGCCUGGCCUUGGCGCUUCACUGUCUUAGCGUGUGUCUGGCCCUCCCAUUCCUGGCCAAGGCCCACAGCCACCACAGAUGACCUGCUGAUGCCUCUGCUGAAAUCCGUGGCCACUGGCCAACAGCUUGACAAGAGUGUCAGCUCCCUCCCGAGACGAAAUCAGAGGAAAACGCCUCUAGUUUCUAAGAAGCACACAGGGAGCCACUUCUUUACCGCUAGCUCCUGCAGGAUCUGUGGGAUCCUGCAGGUGCUGGUUUGCCUCCUGAGCCC